CCGGAUCGGCCCGCUCCUCUCCUCCUCCCUGGAGCGUGCCGGUACCUCCCGAUGCCUUCCUCCCAUUCGGCAUCGGGACAGACAGAGCGGCGGCGUCCACCUCCUCCCGGACGUCGCCGUUUUU
rnacentral:sRNA from 1 species